rnacentral:tRNA from 1 species
GAGAGAGACAUAAUGGUUAUGGUGUCGGCUUGAAACCGAUUUCUGGGGGUUCGAAACCUUCCUCUCUUG